GAAACCGUACUGAGAGGGAUUUUAAACAACUGGCUGUUCCCCUCACAAGCAAUCACACCCUCUACUGUCACUGGCCAAAUUUAAAGUGAUAUGGCAAAUGUGGAGCGGAUUCCUCAGCUUCUUGGGCGGCUUGAAACCGCCUGUGCUGAAUAACAUUGGCUGUUCCGUUUCACCCCCUCCGCGCUCAGGAUCCCGGAAGUAGCCGAGUGAGAUCAUGAUGGCAGGUGAGAAAAUCUCUGCAUCAUGUUACUUGGAUGAAAGGACCUUCCGGCUUUGCUGUCAGCUCUUUCUCCAACACUCUGAGACCAUCCAGGAUGGCUGGAGCUGGGAACAGAUCAAGGGCACUGAUGAAGGAUUCAUGAAGAAGACUGUUCUCACCCCUGUAAAAUCAAGCCUGUUGCACAAACAACAUGGGUGUUUCAUGCAGGCUGAAAACAUGGACCUUCUGACAGAUGACAUUCAGGCAAACGUUGAGGAUGAAACGGCUGGAGUUCAGGCAGCAUGUGAAAUUCAUGCUGUGCUGCGCUAUGAAUACCACGUUCUGUAUUCUUGCAGCUAUCAGAUCCCCGUCCUCUAUUUCAGAGCCUCUACAUUAGAUGGGAAUCCCCUCUCUCUUGAGGAGGUGUGGAGCAAUGUUCAUCCAAACUAUAGACAGAGACUACAGCAGGGACCCUGGGACACGCUGACCCAACAGGAACAUCCUUUACUGGGCCAACCAUUUUUCAUGCUUCAUCCAUGUCGCACUGAGGAGUUUAUGAAACCUGCUCUGGAUUUGGCACAAGCUGAAAACAAGAGGGUGAACUAUAUCGUGACCUGGCUCAGUGUUGUGGGCCCUGUCGUUGGACUGGACGUCCCAUUGAGCUACUGCACUGAGGUGUCCGCUCCAGACUGAAGCUCCAUUGGUACCGACCUGCUCUGAUCUUCCUGUCUGUCUCAGACUCCAUUGAUCCAGAGGAUGUGAAGAGGACACCUGUGACCAGGCUCAGGGUCUCAAAGGACACAGUUUAAAAGUUGAAUGGAAUCAAAUCCCUCAGAAAUCCUGACUGUCUGAUGUGAAGUCUGAAACGGAGGAGCUGAGUUUAGAGUCCAGAGUUUGAGAGAAGACGGUGAAAGUCCUCAGUCAGCAUGUCUAAAUGGGGCGCGCGUCUCUCAGGGGACUGUAUCAGUGUUGGUAAGGAGGUCAGCCUCCUACCCGGAGCAUCUCGCUCUAAUGGACGGACAGGAAUGAUGGAGACGAGAGAGAGAAACGCAUAGAUGGAUCACAGUAGGGAAAUGUUACCUGCUUCAUAACCAGCCAUUUUAAAAGGUUUUAGGUCACCCCAAAAUGACUGUCAAACUCAAAUCUUUUCACAUAAGCAUAUUUUAAAUUGGCACAACAAAUUUAGUUACAAGAUGCAAGAACCAAUGGUUUGGUUUCAUUUAUACUUUCAACUUGAGAUGUGUCUUGAUGUUCCUCAUCAUACGACUACAAGUUAUGACUAUGGACUGUCUGCUUUUAUCCCAGCUAACAAAAAUAUGUUCUAAGAGUGUUUUGAUAACGUUACCAUUAAGUUAUGAAAAUGUUAUUUUGAAUGUUUUUAUAAAAACAUUUGUUGGUAAUGCGAACGUUAGAGAAAACAUUAAAGGAUUCACUUCAGAAUGAACAUUUCCUGAUAA